ACAAACUUAAACCAUGGUCUGUGUUCCUCUCACCCAACUGUUAAGAAUGUUACUGCUUCCAAAUGCAUAGAGACUGUGUCUGUCCCCCGAAUAAUACAACCAAAUAAUCAUUUAUGUAAAAGUCAGAUAAAAAACCUUAUUGUGAUUAAACUAAAAGACAAUAUAUUUAAUAUUAAGUAGCCCAUACUUUGGCCGUUGGUUUUGCUCAUUAGAUCACUAAAUCCAAAGGCAGUUAUUGUUAAUGAAAUGAUCACAGACAACAGUUUUGAUAUACUAUGCCUUACUGAAACCUGGCUUAAGCCAAAUGAUUAUUUUGGUCUAAAUGAGUCUACUCCACCAAGCUACGGUUAUAUGCACAAGCCACGUCCGGUUGGUCGAGGUGGUGGUGUCGCAACAAUCUUUAGAGACUUUCUUACCGUUACUCAGAGAACAAAGCGUAGAUUUAAAUCAUUUGAAGUGGUUGCGUUGAACAUAAUUGUUCCAAAUAAAAGUAAAAAACCAGUGCUUUCUCUUACAUUGGUUACUGUGUGUAGACUCCCUGGGCCUUACACUAAUUUUCUGAUAGAGUUCGCAGAAUUCUUAUCGGACCUAUUGGUUAACAUCGAUAAAGUACUGAUUGUUGGAGAUUUUAAUAUCCACUUAGAUAUUGCUAACGAUCCAUUAGCUGUGGCGUUUAAAGAACUGCUAGACUCUUGUGGUGUAACACAAUACAUCAAUAGACCUACUCAUCGCCUUAAUCAUACCCUAGACUUGAUUAUAUCUCACAGAGCCGAUCUAACCAAUAUCGAUAUUAUAGCUCAAAGCAACGAUAUUACCGAUCACCAUCUUUUAUUAUGUACACUGCUCACUGCAGAAAUCAGUUGUAUAUCUCGUUAUCGACAGGGUAGAACAAUCACCUCAACUACUAAAGAUAGUUUCAUAAAGAACCUGCCAGAUCUGACUCCUCUAAUAACAUUUCCAACUAAUAUAGAAUCGCUCGACGACAUGACCAGCAACAUGGGCACUAUUUUCUCUAACACAUUAGAAGCGGUCGCACCUAUGAAGUCAAAAAAGAUUAAUGAAAAGAUCAUAGCAGCAUGGUACAAUAGCACCACUCGCGCCCUAAAAAGAGAAACACGUAAACUUGAGCGCAAAUGGAAACAAACCCAAUUAGAGGUCUUUAAAAUUGCAUGGAAAGAGAGUACAAACUGCUACAAAAAGCAGAGCACCUCCAUAACCUCAUAGAAACUGACAAAAACAAUCCAAGGUUUUUAUUUAGUACAAUUGCUAAACUAACAAACAAACAGACUCUACCUGACCUGGUUAUUCCGCCGCACCUUGGUAGAAAUGAAUUCAUGACAUUUUUUGCAAAGAAAGUCGAAAAAAUACGAGAAAACAUAGCUAAAACCAAACCUACAAGUGUGUCUGAAGAAUUAAUAUUGACCAUCACCCACAAAGAAAAGCUAGAGUGUUUUUCUCCUAUAAGUCAGGAAGAUUUAAUUAAACUUAUUGCAACAUCCAAACCGACGACAUGCUUAUUAGACCCCAUUCCGACUACUUUAUUAAAAGAGUUACUACCUGUUGCAAAUGAGCCCAUUUAUAACAUUAUUAACUCGUCAAUCAAUCUAGGACAUGUCCCAGGACCCUUUAAACUGGCUGUAAUCAAGCCUUUUGUCAAAAAAACAAAUAUAGACCCCAACGAACUUGGAAGCUAUAGACAGAUUUCAAAUCUCCCUUACUUGUCUAAAAUACUAGAAAAAGUAGUGUCAACUCAACUGUGUACCUUCCAACAAAAUAAUGACAUGAACGAAAAGUUUCAGUCUGGCUUCAGACCACAGCACUGAAACUGUGCUCGUUAGAAUUACAAAUGACCUCCUUAUUACAUCAGAUAAAGGUAACAUCUCACUCUUAGUCCUGCUUGACCUUAGUGCUGCUUUCCAUACUGUAGACCAUAAAAUACUAUUAGAUCGUUUACACAAUUAUAUCUGUAUUCAGGGACAGGCACUGCAAUGGUUCAGAUCUUACUUAACAGACAGAUAUCAAUACGUCCAUUUAAAUGGGAAAUCGUCAAAUCUCACGCAAGUAAAUUAUGGAAUACCUCAGGGAUCGGUUUUAGGACCCUUGCUUUUCUCCAUAUACAUGCUGCCCCUUGGCAACAUUAUUAGAAGACAUGGAAUUAGCUUCAACUGUUAUGCAGGUGAUACUCGGCUAUAUAUCUCAUUAAGACCAGAUGAUUCCUUUAAGCUAUCCAAACUGGCAGAGUGCAUCGAGGACAUAAAACAUUGGAUGACUAGUAAUUUCCUCCUUUUAAACUCUAGCAAAACAGAAAUAUUACUUAUAGCACCAAAAUCAAGUAAACAGAAUAACUCCGAUUACAGCCUUCAAAUUGAAAGCUGCACUGUUUCUCCAACAAAUACAGUUUAAGAUCUAGGCGUUUAUAAGACGGCAACCUGUCAUUUAAAAAUCACAUCUCAAAUAUCACAAAAACAGCCUUCUUCCACCUUAGAAAUGUUGCCAAAUUACGAAAUAUUUUAUGUGUUGCUGACGCAGAAAAGCUUAUUCAUGCAUUUGUGACCUCAAGACUUGACUAUUGUAAUGCUCUACUUAGUGUUUGUCCUGUAUCAUCAAUAAACAAACUACAGUUAGUCCAGAAUGCUGCUACCAGAGUUCUUACUAGGUCAAGAAAAUACGAUCAGUUUUAUCAUCGCUUCACUGGCUACCCAUUAAGUAUCGUAUUGAUUUUAAAAUUCUUUUAAUUAAUUACAAAUCUUUAUAUGGUUUAGCCCCUACUUACUUAACCAAGCUUUUAUCAAAUAACAACCCAUCACACGCUCUACGAUGUCAAAACUCAGGACUUUUGAUGACACCUAGGAUAACUAAAUCCAAUAAAGGGGGUCGAGCUUUCUCAUACGUAGCACCUAAACUCUGGAAUAGCCUUCCUGAUACUAUUCGAGGGUCAGACACACUCUCCCAAUUUAAAUCUAGAUUAAAGACACAUCUUUUCAUCCAAGCUUUCACUUAAUGCAUAGUUAAUGAACAGCAGCUACGCUAAUUUUUCUCCUUCUGCCUUGGCCUCGGGAUGCCCAUCCUGAGGUAGGAAGAAAUUCCGCCAGGUCCAGAUGAUCAACAUAUGCUCAUCCCCACCUAGAGAUUACGCCAGCUACAGCUGCAGACUGACUGACCAUCCCAGCUCCAUCUAAGGCAAUUCCACCACCACCCAAUAGAAAUACGACCAUCGGACCGUCCCAGCUCAGACCACUACAUCCCCAACCAAGAGCAAAAGACGGACUACUUGUCACAUUAAUGCUGAAGUUACAAUAUUUGGUAUUUAAUGCUAAAUUUACAUCACAUGUCAGCAGAUUGAAGUUAUUGCUGCAUUCGGUGGCCCUGAUUGGAGGUUGUUGGGUGGGUGUUGUGGGGAGUGAGGGGAUUCAUCUGCUGGGGCUGUGUGAGUCUGGUUUGGUCUUGUUUUGUGGUGGAUGUCGGACAACAGAUGAAUAAAGUUACAACAUGCCAUUACUAUUUUUCCUGGAUGUUUCUCUGUUUUCUGGUGUCGAUCGUGGAGUGGGACCGGGUUGAACCUGCACGGUUUUCGGUGAGAGGGACUUUCUGGGUUGCAUUUAUAUAAAUAAACUUGAAUUGAAUUGAAUGUAUACUGUCUGGAUUCUUCAGUAUUUGCAAACUGUUGCAUUCUUGUGACAAUUGGCCAGUUUUUUUACUGGCGUAAUCCAAUCAGACUUCAGGAAAAGUGAAAAAGGGGAGGAGUUUCAUAUGCGGUUCUCCGCAAUGUCGAAGUGACCGCUCUCGAAAGGGAACCUUAAACACAUUAGAUUAACCCACCAAACUAAUGGAUACUAAAAUACUCAGUGUUCUUAGAUAGUGUAAUCUUUUAUAACACAAAAAAAUGAAAUAGAAUAUGAAAAUCGAAACUCAAAACGGGUGACUUUAUUGCAUUUUAAUUCAUUUAUUACUCAUUUGUUGAAGGAAAUAUAACUUUUUUUUUGUCCCAAAGGAGAUGUCUUUAUUAUUAAUAUGUAUUUUACCCUCUCCCCAGAUGGUGCAGACUGGUGCUCUGUUGUUUGAGUAUCGUUGCCCAGAGCGUUUGGAUGUUUGUGACGAAGCAUUGAGGAUGUAUUAUAGGAAUAAGACAAAGUUUGCUAGCAUAUCAGACGUGACACUUUAUUAGGAGUUUGGAGACUGAAGUGUUCCCACACUUUAGAACGGGGUCUCUUGCGUGCAUUCUCCAUUUAUAGAUCAAACACACUUUUACCACACGUGUAAGCUGCAGAGAACCCAGGAAACCAGUUUGUGGUUUGGUUGAUGAAACACUUUUAUACUUUUUGGGAACGGUGUUAAUCCUGCAAUUUACUUUUUGACAUAGUAGUACUUUAAUUAGCAAUACAUUACGUAAAAUAAUAUCAAUUAAAUAAAUAAUUAUAACAUAUUCCUAUGGGACAGUACAAUCGACAUGCUUUGAGUUUGAUCCCUUCAUGAUGUGUCGGUGAGGUAACAACGCUUUGUUUCCUCAGGUCACGUGACAGACUCAUUUCAAGCAAUGCUCCGGAACACUGUUAUGAAGCACUAGUUUGUCGAAAAUUCGAUACAUGUGUCGACACGUGGUGUCGAACAAUCCAUCCCUAUAUUAGCCCUCAGGCUGUUAGCAUUAUCAGGCUUUAUUUACUGAAUAUUGCCCUUACUGCUUAACUCACUGUUCUCAUCAUUACAUCACCAAUGGUUUAUGUUUCAGACGUGUGUGUGCGCCUCUGAGUGCAGAUGAGGAAACGUUCGCACUUCAAACAGCGCUGGAAACAUCCAGGGCUUACGCUCACAAAACGGCGGUAAGUUUUUAUCGUGAUUGUAAUACUCCUACCACUUCUACUCCACGUGUUUCUCUGCACAGAGCCCAGGCUUCAAGAACACGACGAGCCCCAAUGAACUUCACUCCUGCACCGGCACACACACAGCGAAAGGCGCAAACCAGGACCGGAGCGAUGACCUCUCCCCCACCACCGCCACCGGUCUUCGAGAACCCGGCUAGGAACCGCUUUGCCGCCCUCUGUGAGACGUAAUGCAACGCUGUGGUCAUCGGUGACUCAAUCGUCCGGAACGUACGCGCUUCCUUCACUCAAGUAGUGAAUUGGGACUACAACUGUCAAGUAUGGAAGAAUAUUCCAAAGGCAGCAAAAGCAGGAAAUAAUUCAGAAGUAACCUCGCACUGUUGAACAAUGUUCCUGUUCCUUCUUAGAAAUCUUUACAUUUUUCUAUUACCCACAGAAUAAAAUGUCAAGUCCCCAGUUCACACGUGGCAGUUAUACAAUUUUAUAAAUCAGUUCUCGAUUCUGAUUGGCUGAUAGCUGUGAGAUAUUCCCCCAGGAUCAUCACAGGAACUGACCGUUGAACCGCUUCACUGACUGUUUGUAUCAGUCCGCCACUAAAAUAUCUCAUACUACACUGUCCUCGCAACUGUGCUACUCUGAAGAAGUUAGAUUGCUAGCAAACAAACACAGGAAGCAGUUUAUCCUUUCCAGGAUGUAAGCUUUCUCUCUUUUUUUUUGUAAAACUAGCAUACAAUAAACAAGCUAUGAAAUUACUACCUGCACAUUAAUACGUUUGGGCAAAAGGACUUUCUUUCAUUAUCAUUGUAUCGAUCACAGUUUAACUUCCAAGAAUCAAUAUUAUGUUAGCAAGUAAUAUGAAAGCUUACAGAUAGUAAAAAAAACUUACAGGCAUAUCUUUCUCCAAGCAAAGAUUGUUGGCGUUGUGAACUGAAAAUAGGCUACUGCUGUAUGAUAAAUGAGAUCUACAGGUGAAACUCGAAUAAAUCGAAUAUCGUGCAAAAGUUCAUUUAUUUCACUAAUGGUUAGAAUCUAUGGGGCAUUGCCAAGAGAAAGAUGAGAGACAUGAGACCGAACAAUGCAGAAGAGCUGAAGGCCGCUAUUGAUGCAUCCUGGUCUUCCAUAACACCUCAGCAGUGCCACAGGCUGAUAGCUUCCAUGCCACGCCGCAUUGAGGCAGCAAUUGCUGCAAAAGGGGCUCAAACCAAGAACUGAGUACAUAUGCAUGCUUAUACUUUUCAGAGGUCCGAUAUUGUUCUAUGUACAAUCCUUGUUUUAUUGUUUGCAUGUAAUAUUCUCAUUUUCUGAGAUUGUGGAUUUGGGGUUUUCAUGAGCUGAAAGCCAUAAUCAUCAGAUUUAUGACAAAUCACGGCUUGAACUAUCUUGCUUUGCAUGUAAUGAGUCUAUCUCAUAUAUUAGUUUCACCUUUUAAGUUGCAUUAGUGAAAUAAAUGAACUUUUGCUCGAUGUUCGAAUUAUUCGAGUUUCACCUGUAAAUCACAACACUGCGCAAACUUCAAUACUGGAAAAUGGCCACUAGGUGGCGGAAAAACACCAUGAUAAUUGGAGGACGUGUUGGCGGUGUCUAUAGCAAUUGAUUGACAGCGCUCUGCACUCAUUGUUUAAAAAUGUUACAGAGUGGGACGCGAGGGUCUCGAUCAAGAGAAUAGAAAUGGGAUUAACACAUUCCUGACCCUCCCUCUCAGGUAGAUAUAAACGAGGAGACCCCACAGGACCAGUCACCCACUUUCUGCUAGAACAUCCGACGCAGAUUCUUUUGAUGCAGUUUUUGGAAAACCUUCUUCUUCAAUCAAGAAUGGCUUCUCAAAGCUGCAGCUUCAUUCACACAUCUGAGGCCAUCGCUGAGCUGGUGGAGAAGGCCAAGGCCAAUUCUCUGGAGAUUCUGCAGUCUGGCAUAGUCUUCAGUUCUGGCCACUUGGCAAAGAUUCACACACGCGAAAACAAAAAUGGCGGCGGCGCAAUGGGUGGACACAUUCAGAUCAAGUGGCGGAAAUAUAACUAAUGUCACAGGGUCACCAGGGCCGGAACCUUUUUCUUUGGAGUUGUUGCUAUGGAGGGACAUUUCCGGUGUAACACCAUGUAAUGUCCGGACGCACGAACGAGGCGGAAGCGCAGCUAGAAUUGAUUGAGCGAAAUCACCGGCACGUGUGAAGGAGAAAACCCUGAACGAGGAUUGGGGCGGAGAAGCAUUAAAGACGCUGACAUUGGAGAAGAGGGAGAUUGAGAGGGAGGAGAGAAACAGUGGGGUGCGAGAGAGGGGAAAGAAACAGCGGGAGAGGCAGUAAGAAGUAUAAGGACUGAAGGAGGAGGAGGAAUGAUUACAUCUCCAUUUACUAAGGUGUCCAUUUGAGCCCGAAUACUGCCUUAUUCAUUGAGGUUUGGAGUGAUUGCAGUGUUGUGCUGAUAUUUUCACGGGUGGACUGGAGUCUUUUGCUGUGUACACACACGAGUGUGGGAACCCCGCAGAUUGUUUGGGUGAUUGAGCUCACCUCUCUAUGAAGUCCAGUCCUGUGAGUACGAAAUACAGAGUUAGAGCUUGAUACCUUCGUCUGUCUUCUGUCCGUGCUGUAGCCAACGGAGCUGCUGAGUUGAGCUCACCUCUCUAUGUAAUCCAGUCCUGACUUACUGAGCCAAUGUGUGUUGGAGAAACAUCCGUUCACCGGAUCCACCGCAGACAGUCUUCUCACCCAAGACGCAAGGCACAAUGCGCUCACUCUCACGCACGUCCCAUUCACACCUCCCCUUCUACACCUCUGUUGCUCUCCUCCCACUUAUUGCAAAAACACUGUUAAGGGCAGCUUUCAACCAAUCAAUGGAAAUCCUCAGUCCUAUUUCUGCUAGACCUAUCUGCAGCGUUUGACACUGUCAAUCACCAGAUACUGCUAGCAACCCUGUCAUCUCUAGGAAUCUCAGACACUCCUCUCCGCUGGUUCAAAUCCUACCUCUCCGGCAGAUCCUUCAGGGUUUCAUGGAGGGGCUCGCCGUCCACUGCUUACCACAUGAUCACUGGGGUCCCUCAGGGAUGAAAGAGCAUCACCUCCAGCUGAUGGCAUACUUUUACAGCUUCCUACACUCCUACACCCCAUCAAGAUCCCUCCGGUCAACCACAUCUCUCACAACAUGCAAAAAACGACUUAAACCUCAUCUCUUCUUUGAAUACUUGACAGACAAAUAGGAAAACAACUAACCCUCUCUCUCUCUUUCUCUCAACAUGUUUUGGUCUAGCUUUUAUUGAAACUCUUAACUUUGUAUUAGCACCUGUUGUAUUAUUGCUCCUGUAUGACAUCAUUGCGUAUUGCUCCUGAACUCUCUGGACGAUUUGCUGACGAAGCCAGGGCAGCUUACACCAAGCAACUGCUGGACUGUGCUGGAGAAGGCCAAGAGAGACUUCCUUGCCGUCAUUGUUGAAGGUCUUCCCGAAGAGAGCGUUUGAGGACACAAUGGCAGUGGUUAUCCUUUAACAUCUCCAGCGGCCGGGAGUGGUCGAGUAUCUUUGUAGUGUCUGCAUUGUGUAACGGCUAGGGCUGGGCGAUGUGUUGACAUUUUUUUAUGGAUAAUCGACUUUAAAAUCAUCACAAUAUCUGAUAAUAUCGGGUGUGUUUGACUUCAUGCAACCUUCGGAGACGAUCAAUCUGCGGAUACGGAUCGGGAGGGAAUUCCUUCUGGAACAGCCAAGUGUGUGCACACACACACGCACAAACCAGUGUUGCAGUGACUUCUUUCGUCAGGGUAGGACAAUUGGAACAGCGGUACAGCCCGCGAGCGUGAGGUUUUGCUUUACCCACGCAGCUUGUCUUUCUCUUGCUCUAUCUGUGCAGCGACCGGCCACGAGAGCACAAGUUCAUCAGAUUCAUUUGUUUGGUGCUUACUAUGAAGGGAUCAGGCCAGAACUUCUCAACGGCCAAACACAGAAGAGAACAUGGGAUGAGGCAGAAGGACUAGACCGCUCCUUCAUUUCCAGCACAGGGAGGCCGAUCUUCAACGCCUCCAAUGACAUCAAACGGCUUCACGUCAAUUCUCUGAAAUGAACUUCUCUUAGUCCCAGGUCUUGUAAUAACAUGUUGUUUACAUAUUUCUAUUUAGAUAUGGAGUGAAGCCGGUCACCAGUCAGAUGGCGAGGAAGGUGUUUGAGACUGCCGCCAAAUCUCAGGGUGACUCAGAAAGGGAUUUCGUGGCAGAUUACCACACACAUUCCACCGCCACAGCAGACAAGCAUUACCACAUGAAGACACUGAAGGAUGUGAUAUUUGCUCGCAAACUGCUGGGCCAGCUGGCUGGUGAAUCUGGAUCUGAACCAGAAGCACAGUUUUCGAUUUCCAAAAGAAAAUCAAGUCAUUGGUUGGAUUACGUGCGGAUGAUGUCACUUGCUUCCGUCCCUCGUGUUGCCUUGGAUACAGGCGCGCUCUGCUCUGUCUCGGUCACUGUCAUCGUGCUCUUUGCUUUUUCGAUUGAGACAUUUUUCUCUUAAUCUUUCCCAUGUAACACCAUAAGACGGUUUAGUAAAAAUGCUCAAAAACAAUCAAACGAAGCGUCGACCCAUUCAAUUCAGUGCUGCCUUAUGUUUACGAAACUUCAGGUUCAUUCAUGUCUCCAAACUCCUCCACAUUUCACGUUAUAAUGUCAGAAUAGGUCAUUGUGUGAUUGUCUGCAAAAGUACUACGAACAAUGUGUGAUUAUGAUCGUAUUGCUUGAUCUGCCUAUGGCGACUCGUCAUUGGCUGUUGCUCUGACUAAUGUUGUGAAAGCUUAGAUAAACUAAACUUGGCUCUGUACACUGUAGUAGGCUUUGAGAGAUGUUUUUAUUGCUCUUAUGCUUUUUGUCGUCCCAGUGUUUACCCAACUUGUAAGUCGCUUUGGAUAACAGCGUCUGCUAAUUGACUUAUUGUAAAUGUAAAGAUCAGUUGUUCAAUGCAGAAAGAAAUCACGAAGACCAAGAAGCCAGCUUCAUAGAAGCUCAAUCUUUAUUUGCUCGAGCAAGCAAAGAUGAGACACACAAGAGUUUAUCUGAAGAUGUCCAACAAAUACAUAUUUGACUCCAUACUUUAUACAGAACUUUCAUGCUGUUUCUUAGAGAAUUUAGAAGCAAGUGUCCGCCAAUCAGGUUUCACAUGAUAUCACCCUUUUGUUAGCCCGUCCCUCUUCUGGGUUGUUAGCAUCAUAUUUCAACCGGGUUGCGCUCACUAGUUAUAUUUCCGGACCACCAUAUAAGAAUUUAAUUGUGGCGAGCGCUUCUUAGAACUUUUAAAAGAAAAAAUAUUAGCAGGUAGUUAAACACCAUUGUUAUCUUCUUUACCAGACAUCUUUCUUGGGUUUAUCAGACGGUAUAUGACGUACUGCAGUUUCAGAGUUUAACCAAACAAUGAGCUCAUGGUUAAGUGUUAUUUUCUUUGUCCGUGAGUUUGUUAGAAAAAGUAAUAAUGAACAAACCAGUGCCUGUGCGCAGCAAUGUCCCUGGUGUCAAAUUUACACCCGCUGGUGUAAAUAUGCAAACCUACGGGUGUACAUACUAAGACUGAAGCAGAGUCUUUCUGGUGUGAAAUGUGAAUUUAUUCAUGAAGUUAAUGAAUCAACUGAGUUUACUUUACAAGUGAUGAUUGAUCUUUAGUGAUGACACCUGCUGUCCAUGAUCAGAGUCCACUGAAGAAGUGAACAAGAACAGGAAAAAACAGACAGUAGCCACACAGAUUCAUGUCAUAUACAUACACAAUCAAAUAUUCUAACAAGAUACAUAUUUACAUUUCACUAAAUGAAACUCUUGACUACUUUGAACACAACUAAAGCUCUACUAAUUAUA